AACGAACGCUGGCGGCAUGCCUAACACAUGCAAGUCGAACGAGACCUUCGGGUCUAGUGGCGCACGGGUGCGUAACGCGUGGGAACCUGCCCUUAGGUUCGGAAUAACUCCCCGAAAGGGGUGCUAAUACCGGAUAAUGUCUUCGGACCAAAGAUUUAUCGCCUUUGGAUGGGCCCGCGUUGGAUUAGCUAGUUGGUAGGGUAAAAGCCUACCAGGGCGACGAUACAUAGCUGGUCUGAGAGGAUGAUCAGCCACACUGGGACUGAGACACAGCCCAGACUCCUACGGGAGGCAGCAGUGGGGACUAUUGGACAAUGGGCGAAAGCCUGAUCCAGCAAUGCCGCGUGAGUGAUGAAGGCCUUAGGGUUGUAAAGCUCUUUUACCCGGGAUGAUAAUGACAGUACCGGGAGAAUAAGCUCCGGCUAACUCCGUG
rnacentral:rRNA from 1 species